rnacentral:rRNA from 1 species
UUCCGGUUGAUCCUGCCAGAGGCGACCGCUAUUGGAGUUCGAUUAAGCCAUGCGAGUCGAGAGUCUUAGGGACUCGGCAUACUGCUCAGUAACACGUGGAUAACCUGCCCUGUACUGGAGAAUAACCUCGGGAAACUGAGAAUAAUGCUCCAUAGACCACAAUGCCUGGAACGGUUUGUGGUUCAAAGCUCCGGCGGUACAGGAUGGGUCUGCGGCGUAUCAGGUUGUAGGGGGUGUAAAGGACCUCCUAGCCAUUGACGCGUACGGGUUGUGGGAGCAAUAGCCCGGAGAUGGAUUCUGAGACACGAAUCCAGACCCUACGGGGUGCAGCAGGCGCGAAAACUUCACACUGCGGGAAACCGUGAUGAGGGAACUCCAAGUGUUAGCACAAUGUGCUAUCUUUUCUUGACUUUUAAUAGGUCUUGGAAUAAGGGGCGGGAAAGACCGGUGCCAGCCGCCGCGGUAAUACCGGCGCCUCGAGUGGUCGUCGCUUUUAUUGGGCCUAAAACGUCCGUAGCCUGUUUGGUAAACCCGUGGGUAAAUCAACGAGCUCAACUCAUUGACUUCUGCGGAGACUGCCAGACUAGGGACCGGGAGAGGUGUAGGGUACUCAUGGGGUAGGGGUAAAAUCCUGUCAUCCCAUGAGGACCACCUGUUGCGAAGGCGCUACACUGGAACGGAUCCGACGGUCAGGGACGAAGCCUAGGGGCACGAACCGGAUUAGAUACCCGGGUAGUCCUAGGUGUAAACGCUGUGGACUUGGUGUUGGGGAUCCGACAGGGGUUCCCAGUGCCGGAGCGAAGGUGUUAAGUCCACUGCCUGGGGAGUACGGUCGCAAGGCUGAAACUUAAAGGAAUUGGCGGGGGAGCACUGCAACGGGAGGAGCGUGCGGUUUAAUUGGACUCAACGCCGGGA